CCUACGGGAGGCUGCAGUAGGGAAUAUUGCACAAUGGGGGAAACCCUGAUGCAGCGACGCCGCGUGAGUGAAGAAGUAUUUCGGUAUGUAAAGCUCUAUCAGCAGGGAAGAGAAUGACGGUACCUGAGUAAGAAGCCCCGGCUAACUACGUGCCAGCAGCCGCGGUAAUACGUAGGGGGCAAGCGUUAUCCGGAUUUACUGGGUGUAAAGGGAGCGUAGACGGCGAAGCAAGUCUGAAGUGAAAGCCCGCGGCUCAACCGUGGAACUGCUUUGGAAACUUUUUUGCUGGAGUACCGGAGAGGUAAGCGGAAUUCCUAGUGUAGCGGUGAAAUGCGUAGAUAUUAGGAGGAACACUAGUGGCGAAGGCGGCUUACUGGACGGUAACUGACGUUGAGGCUCGAAAGCGUGGGGAGCAAACAGGAUUAGAUACCCCAGUAGUC
rnacentral:rRNA from 1 species